UACGUAGGGUGCGAGCGUUAAUCGGAAUUACUGGGCGUAAAGCGUGCGCAGGCGGUCUGUUAAGACAGAUGUGAAAUCCCCGGGCUUAACCUGGGAACUGCAUUUGUGACUGGCAGGCUAGAGUAUGGCAGAGGGGGGUAGAAUUCCACGUGUAGCAGUGAAAUGCGUAGAUAUCAGGAGGAAUACCGAUGGCGAAGGCAGGUCUCUGGGCUGAUACUGACGCUCAUGCACGAAAGCGUGGGGAGCAAACAGG
rnacentral:rRNA from 1 species